rnacentral:rRNA from 1 species
GACGAACGCUGGCGGCGUGCCUAAUACAUGCAAGUAGAACGCUGAAGCGAGGAGCUUGCUCUUCUUGGAUGAGUUGCGAACGGGUGAGUAACGCGUAGGUAACCUGCCUGGUAGCGGGGGAUAACUAUUGGAAACGAUAGCUAAUACCGCAUAAAAUUGAUUAUUGCAUGAUAAUUAAUUGAAAGAUGCAACUGCAUCACUACCAGAUGGACCUGCGUUGUAUUAGCUAGUUGGUGAGGUAACGGCUCACCAAGGCGACGAUACAUAGCCGACCUGAGAGGGUGAUCGGCCACACUGGGACUGAGACACGGCCCAGACUCCUACGGGAGGCAGCAGUAGGGAAUCUUCGGCAAUGGGGGGAACCCUGACCGAGCAACGCCGCGUGAGUGAAGAAGGUUUUCGGAUCGUAAAGCUCUGUUGUAAGAGAAGAACGGGUGUGAGAGUGGAAAGUUCACACUGUGACGGUACCUUACCAGAAAGGGACGGCUAACUACGUG